rnacentral:rRNA from 1 species
CAGCAGCCGCGGGAACACGUAGGGUGCGAGCGUUAAUCGGAAUUACUGGGCGCAAAGCGUGCGCAGGCGGCUUUGCAAGACAGAUGUGAAAUCCCCGGGCUCAACCUGGGAACUGCAUUUGUGACUGCAAGGCUAGAGUGCGGCAGAGGGAGAUGGAAUUCCGCGUGUAGCAGUGAAAUGCGUAGAUAUGCGGAGGAACACCGAUGGCGAAGGCAAUCUCCUGGGCCUGCACUGACGCUCAUGCACGAAAGCGUGGGGAGCAAACAGGAUUAGAUACCCCCGUAGUCCCUGUCUCUUAUAC